AGAGUUUGAUCCUGGCUCAGGACGAACGCUGACGGUGUGCUCUAGACAUGCAAGUCGAACGAGAAAGCCCUUCGGGGUGAGUACAGUGGCGAACGGGUGAGUAACACGUGGGCAAUCUGCCCCUCGCAGGGGGAUAACCGGGGGAAACCCCGGCUAAUACCCCGUACACUUACGGAGCCGCAUGGCUCUGUAAGAAGAGGUAGCUUCGGCCAUCCGGCGAGGGAUGAGCCCGCGGCACAUUAGCUAGUUGGUAGGGUAACGGCCUACCAAGGCGACGAUGUAUAGCUGGUCUGAGAGGAUGAUCAGCCACACUGGGACUGAGACACGGCCCAGACUCCAACGGGAGGCAGCAGUCGGGAAUCUUGCGCAAUGGGCGAAAGCCUGACGCAGCAACACCGUGUGAGUGACGAAGGCCCUAGGGUCGUAAAGCUCUGUUGUUGGGGACGAAGGGUUAGGGGUUAAUAGCCCCGAGCCUGACGGUACCCUUCGAGGAAGCCCCGGCUAACUACGUGCCAGCAGCCGCGGUAAUACGUAGGGGGCGAGCGUUGUCCGGAAUUAUUGGGCGUAAAGAGCGUGUAGGCGGUUCGGUAAGUCUGCCGUGAAAACCCAGGGCUCAACCCUGGGCGUGCGGUGGAUACUGCCGGGCUAGAGGGUGGUAGAGGCGAGUGGAAUUCCCGGUGUAGCGGUGAAAUGCGCAGAUAUCGGGAGGAACACCAGUAGCGAAGGCGGCUCGCUGGGCCAUACCUGACGCUGAGACGCGAAAGCGUGGGGAGCAAACAG
rnacentral:rRNA from 1 species